rnacentral:rRNA from 1 species
UGGGACCGGCAUAACCCCGGGAAACUGGGGAUAAUUCCGGAUAACGCAUAUUUGCUGGAAUGCUUUAUGCGUCAAAAGGAUUCGUCUGCCCAAGGAUGGGUCUGCGGCCUAUCAGGUAGUAGUGGGUGUAAUGUACCUACUAGCCAGCGACGGGUACGGGUUGUGAGAGCAAGAGCCCGGAGAUGGAUUCUGAGACAUGAAUCCAGGCCCUACGGGGCGCAGCAGGCGCGAAAACUUUACAAUGCGGGAAACCGUGAUAAGGGGACACCGAGUGCCAGCAUCAUAUGCUGGCUGUCCGGAUGUGUAAAAUACAUCCGUUAGCAAGGGCCGGGCAAGACCGGUGCCAGCCGCCGCGGUAACACCGGCGGCCCGAGUGGUGAUCGUGAUUAUUGGGUCUAAAGGGUCCGUAGCCGGUUUGGUCAGUCCUCCGGGAAAUCUGAUAGCUCAACUAUUAGGCUUUCGGGGGAUACUGCCAGACUUGGAACCGGGAGAGGUAAGAGGUACUACAGGGGUAGGAGUGAAAUCUUGUAAUCCCUGUGGGACCACCUGUGGCGAAGGCGUCUUACCAGAACGGGUUCGACGGUGAGGGACGAAAGCUGGGGGCACGAACCGGAUUAGAUACCCGGGUAGUCCCAGCCGUAAACGAUGCUCGCUAGGUGUCAGGCAUGGCGCGACCGUGUCUGGUGCCGCAGGGAAGCCGUGAAGCGAGCCACCUGGGAAGUACGGCCGCAAGGCUGAAACUUAAAGGAAUUGGCGGGGGAGCACAACAACGGGUGGAGCCUGCGGUUUAAUUGGACUCAACGCCGGACAACUCACCGGGGGCGACAGCAAUAUGUAGGCCAAGCUGAAGACUUUGCCUGAAUCGCUGAGAGGAGGUGCAUGGCCGUCGCCAGUUCGUACUGUGAAGCAUCCUGUUAAGUCAGGCAACGAGCGAGACCCGUGCCCACUGUUACCAGCAUGUCCUCCGGGACGAUGGGUACUCUGUGGGGACCGCCGAUGUUAAAUCGGAGGAAGGUGCGGGCCACGGUAGGUCAGUAUGCCCCGAAUCUCCCGGGCUACACGCGGGCUACAAUGGAUGGGACAAUGGGUCCCUCCCCUGAAAAGGGCUGGUAAUCUCACAAACCCAUUCGUAGUUCGGAUCGAGGGCUGUAACUCGCCCUCGUGAAGCUGGAAUCCGUAGU